rnacentral:rRNA from 1 species
GACUAGCCAUGCGAGUCGAGAGGGUUCGGCCCUCGGCUGACGGCUCAGUAACACGUGGAUAAUCUGCCCUUAGGUGGAGGAUAAUCUCGGGAAACUGAGGACAAUACUCCAUAGGUCUAGGAGGCUGGAAUGCACCUAGGCUGAAAGUUCCGGCGCCUAAGGAUGAGUCUGCGGACUAUCAGGUUGUAGUCAGGGUAAAGACCUGACUAGCCUACGACGGAUAUGGGUUGUGAGAGCAAUAACCCAGAGACGAUAUCUGAGACACGAAUCCAGGCCCUACGGGGUGCAGCAGGCGCGAACACUUUACAAUGCGGGAAACCGCGAUAAGGGAACCCCGAGUGCCAGCAUCAAAUGUUGGCUGUCCAGAUGAUUAAAAAUCAUUUGUUAGCAAGGGCCGGGCAAGACCGGUGCCAGCCGCCGCGGUAACACCGGCGGCCCGAGUGGUAGCCGUUUUUAUUGGGUCUAAAGGGUCCGUAGCCGGCUUGAUAAGUCCUUUGGGAAAUCUGGCAGCUUAACUGUCAGGCUUCUAAGGGAUACUGUCAGGCUUGGGACCGGAAGANGUAAGGGGUACUCCAGGGGUAGGAGUGAAAUCUUGUAAUCCCUGGGGGACCAUCUGUGGCGAAGGCGCCUUACCAGAACGGGUCCGACGGUGAGGGACGAAAGCUAGGGGAGCAAACCGGAUUAGAUACCCGGGUAGUCCUAGCUGUAAACGAUGCUCGCUAGGUGUCAGACACGGUGCGACCGUGUUUGGUGCCNCAGGGAAGCCGUUNAGCGAGCACCUGGAAGUACGGUCGCAGGCUGAACUUAAGNAUUGGCGGGGAACACUACACGGG